rnacentral:rRNA from 1 species
UACGGGGGGGGCAAGCGUUGUUCGGAAUUACUGGGCGUAAAGGGCUCGUAGGCGGCCAACUAAGUCAUACGUGAAAUCCCUCGGCUUAACCGGGGAACUGCGUCUGAUACUGGAUGGCUUGAGUUCGGGAGAGGUGAGUGGAAUGCCGAGUGUAGAGGUGAAAUUCGUAGAUAUUCGGCGGAACACCAGUGGCGAAGGCGACUCACUGGCCCGAUACUGACGCUGAGGCGCGAAAGCGUGGGGAGCAAACAGG